rnacentral:rRNA from 1 species
UACGUAGGGGGCUAGCGUUGUCCGGAAUCAUUGGGCGUAAAAAGCGUGUAGGCGGUCCGGUAAGUCCGCUGUGAAAGUCGGGGGCUCAACCCUCGAAUGCCGGUGGAUACUGUCGGGCUAGAGUGCGGAAGAGGCGAGUGGAAUUCCUGGUGUAGCGGUGAAAUGCGCAGAUAUCAGGAGGAACACCUAUUGCGAAGGCAGCUCGCUGGGACGUAACUGACGCUGAGACGCGAAAGCGUGGGGAGCAAACAGG